UUUACAUUACAUAUACAUGUUCACAAGUAAUAGACUCGAGACCGUCAGCAGAGUGACUCUGGGUGAAGAUACAGCUACUGAGAUGCCAUAGUACCUACCAAGAAGACGAGCAUAUGUGUGCGACUCAAUCUAGGUCCCAACUGCCUCCAAAUCUGAAAACAUGAAUUUUAAAAAUGUGAGUACAAAACUCAGUGAGUGAACAUAAGAAGGGAACAAGCAAUCAAUAGGAAGAAUUUGGAAAUCGUGAUGCAUUUGUUUCAAAAACAAUGCACUUGAUUUAAUUUCUUACUAAAAACCCCUCAUUUCAAACCUUGAUUAAUACCCUCAUAGUGUUUCAUAAACCCAUAAUCAGUCCAUGAAGUUAAAUGGGUGAAAAGUAGGUCAAAAUCAACCAAGGUAGCAAGCAUGGCAGCAAGUUUCUCACUGCAGAAAAAUUCAUUCUCACUGCAGCGAGAUUCGGGCGGCCAAAAUAGAAAGUUUCUCGCUGUAGUGAGAAACAGUGUUAGUUUGCAUGUGUUUCGGUUUUUCUAGUAUAUCUCCCUAUACAUAACUCCAAUUGACUUGAUUUUUUAAUCAUUAGAAAGAUAAGAGGCAGAGAUACAACUUUUAUGUUUACCACUUUUCCCAGUUUGGAGAGGAAGGUUGUCAAAAUAUUCAUCAAAGUCAAGGCAUGUCAUCAGAACCUGAGAGUUUCUCGUUGCAAUGAUAUUUAUUUUCGCUGCAGCGAGUUUUCUGCUGCCAAAACAGAAUGUUUUUCACUGCAGUGAGAAGCAGGGCACCUAAGUGAAAAAAGGACCUCCUUUGCACAAAAAAUCCAUUUGGUGCUACAAUAAAGAUCAAUUUGCAAGAAAAUGAGAAUUUCUCAAGAUUCAUCAUGCCAAAAUUCACAUGCAUUUCAAUCAUAUAUCAUAUUCAUGAACUUUCAUUUCAUAAGCGUAGAUAUGCAUAAAUACAUAGAUAAACAUCAAUAUCAUCAUAAUCACACCCAGCUCAUGUGCAUCCCCCCACAUCGUGCACAUAGCCGGCACCAUCAUGUGCAUCCCCCCACAUUGUGCACAUAGCCAUCAUGUACAUCCCCCCACAUCAUGCACAAUGGCACUAUCAUCAUCCAUCUCCCACACCACUAUCAUCACCUGCAUGUUCCUCCCCCCACAUCGUGCACACACACAGUUAUAGUCAUCAUACACAAUAUCAACUAUCAUGCACAACAUAUAUAUAUAUAUAUAUAUAUAUAUAUUAUCAUAAUGCAAUAGUGCAUGAAUCCAUAACAACCACAUAUCACAACAUAAAACCAUUUAGCAAAAGCUUGUUCCCAAGGCACUUGUUUUAAGAAAAAGUUGUAUAAAAUCAUUCAAAUGCUUUGUACAAAACAGUCACAUUCCCAAAAUGAUUUUGAAAUGCAGUUCACUCACCGGUAUUUCUAAACCUCUAAUCGACUCUAACCUCCACUAAUGGUUCAAAUGGGCAAGUGCGGCCUUGUUGGAACCUAUACACACACAACAUCACAACCAAUCCAAUUUACAUUAAUAUCACUCCAAAAGCUAGUUUCUAAUUCAAAUUCUUCUACUCAUUCCUAAUUGGCUUCCAACUAUAUCAAAUGGCUAUUCCUUGUACUACUCUAAUCACACUAAACGUCACAACCUGGUACUCCCCUCGAGCCCAUGACAACCAUCGCGAUGUCCCGAUAGACAUUCGUUACCCGACGUGCCAACCGGAACCCUGCAAGGCUUUAGUGCCAUUUUUUUUUCAUCUCCCUUGUGAGUAAUCAUCGCCAAACCUCAUUUGUAAAGAAUUUUAAGCUUUUUCCCUUUCAAAACCGUGGAAAAAUAUUUUUCGCCUCACAAAGGCAUUUUCGUCAUUUUUUCUCGAAAUUUUUCAAACCUGACUAAAAAUGUAGUAGAUGAGUGGAAAACACAUACUUCGUGAUUUAAAAUAAAUUUGGGUGUCUAAAACAUUUAUUAAAAAUGAUAUUGCAACUAUUUGAAUAAAAUAAAAAUAUUCAAUAAAAUAUUCUAGUUUCUUGUAAAAUAAUAUUUAUAGUCAUCGGUAAAUAAUUUUUAUAAUGUAAACGCUAAAUAAAUUCAUACGUACUAUAAGACAGAUAACCAGGAUAUGAAAUUUACUUUACAGUGACUCGUGGGCCCAUAAGGAACAAAAGUGCACAAAGGCAGUAAACCUAUAGUUUUUGGAGUAGUAAAGCCGACUAUAAUCCUUGAUGAUAUCUACUAUCCACAGGCUACCUCGGGCCUGAAAUGGUUAAAAAGGAGGGUGGUGAGAUUAUAGAAUCCCAGUGAGUAAACAGAUACCAUCUAAACCAUCUAAAGUCGAGUAAAUGGAGGCAGAUAAAACAAUUUAACAUACUUAAAUUCAUCACCUUUCAACUUGUUUCAACCAAAUAAAAUCAAUUCAUAUAAAUCGAGUAAUUAACAUGGCUUAUGAAUUUCUUAAAACUUUGGCUCGUGCCAAAAUCAUUAUCAUACUCAGUCAUUAGGGAUACCUUACGCGAGAGCUAUCCCAAACCGAGUCCGCCAAGGCUGUUAAAAGUUAUGUACGCAUAAAUCAUGUUUUUAUUUUGAAAACAUAGCUGUUCCUUGGCGUUGGUUGAGUUCACCCUCACGUGGUGGUUUGGGUGAAGUGAACUCUAAAAUGUUAACCUCAGGAGUUAUCCAACUGCGCCUCUCAUACUGAGGUAAGAUAUGACGGGGUUUACCGUGCCCCUCUAAUAGGCUGGUCCACGAAAACCAGCCCACUGCAGCAAGCUCAACCCCACCAUAUAAUAAAAAUUCAACAACAUGACAUGGCUAUUUUUAUUAUUAUCCAGCCUAUCAAGGCAAACAAUAGUUUAUAUAUUUCAACACAAAUACCAAUUCAGCCAUUCAUGCCAAUAUUGUCAUAAGCCAAUCAAUUAGAAUCAUAAAUUCACAACACAUCAAAUGGUUUUCAAUUACUCUAUUUUCAAAGCCAUUAUUCAAUUUCAAGACAAUUUUAUAAAAUUAUUUCAUUUAAUCACAUUUUUGCUUAUAAAACAUAAAGAUUUGCCAUUUAAACUCAUUUUUCAUAAAUCACAAAAUCGGAUAAAAACCACUUUAGAUAAUUAACACGAUAGUAAGGUUACUCACAGUACUAAGAGUUCGAUAUACUCCUAUUCCCGAUCUUCGAGCACAAUCUCUUUACCCUUGUUAGAGGGCUCACCAUCUAUACAUCAUACGUGACACGAAUUUCAAUAAAUUGUGUCAAUUUAUCAUAAACUAUUUCAAGCUCUAUAAAUCUAUAUGAAUGCACUAAAUGUGAUGCAAAAUGUCCGAAUAGCUGUUUAAAUACGAUAUUCGACCUAAUUUGCACUAUUCUCGGUGUAAUUGGCUAAAACCUCCAAUUUAACUCCAAAUCAAUUUCUUUUACUUUCUACACUCCAAUUAUACUUAAAAUACCUCAAUGACUGUGAAUAUGAUUCAAUUUAUUAGUCCGAACCAUAAAUCGCACAUGUCUAUACAUUAGGUAAACAUUCAGAUUUUCAUUCCAAAAUUUCCCAUUAAAUUUCUAGCCUCACCAAUCAUUAAAUACCACUAAAAUAUCAUGAAAUAUCAUCAAUUUCAGCCUCAAUAUCCUCCCUAGAAAACUCAGCCUCUUGUGGGUUUGUGAAGAACAAAGUGAUUCCUUGCUAGAUUUUCAUACUUUCCAUUACCAAACAACCAAAAACACUUAAUUAGCUUGAAAUCUAGCAAAAUCAAUGCUCAAAACCUCUCCUCUCAAAUUUGGCCAGCAUUGGUUCAUCAUGUAAACUUGAGUUCUAAGCAUGGAAAAUGAAAAAGAAAGCAUGGGUAGUGUAAAUCACAAGGUAAAAUCACAAAAUCUUACCUUUAUUAGCUUAAUCCCUUGAAAUCCCACACUUUUUCUUCAAUUUUCCUACCUAGGGUUUGUGUUCUUUCCUUUCCUCUUCAGUUCAUGCUUUGGC
rnacentral:lncRNA from 1 species